UGUUAACGUCAUCGUAGAAUCGUCCCCUAAAGAAAAUAAUUGUGAUAAUGAGUGUAUGUUAAUUACUGGUCUAGGGAUACUCCAGCGGAGAAGUAAGUCAAGCACCAGUCUUUCUCCUGCAUCUGAAAUCGAUUUGUCGUCGAACUUGAAUUGAAGGAAAUAAACGCAAUGGCUUACGUCAAUCAUCAGCACACUGGUCAUGAACAUACGCCAAAAUAAUAAUGGUAUGUUGCCCAUCGUUUUGGUAAACCCGAUGAGAAAUCCGCUAAAGUUCGGUGCAAGAUCGAAGUGGGUGAGCCAAGCCCCGACAUUAUUAAAUGCUGUUGUGAAGAGCAUCAAGUUGUAAAAUAUUACACCGCUACCAGCCGAUUGAAUAUAACAAAUGAAGAAAAGACAUAUUGAAGAACCCCAGAGCCCUGGAAACCAGUAAAUAUAAUAAUUUAAA